rnacentral:tRNA from 1 species
AUUUAUAUAGUUUAAAUCCAAUAAAACAUUAUAUUUUCACUAUAAAAAAAAUAAAAUAAUUAUUUAUAAAUU